UACGAAGGGGGCUAGCGUUGCUCGGAAUCACUGGGCGUAAAGCGCACGUAGGCGGUUUGCUAAGUCAGGGUGAAAUCCUGGAGCUCAACUCCAGAACUGCCUUUGAUACUGGCGGACUUGAGUCCGGGAGAGGUGAGUGGAACUGCGAGUGUAGAGGUGAAAUUCGUAGAUAUUCGCAAGAACACCAGUGGCGAAGGCGGCUCACUGGCCCGGUACUGACGCUGAGGUGCGAAAGCGUGGGGAGCAACAGG
rnacentral:rRNA from 1 species